UACGGGGGGGGCAAGCGUUGUUCGGAAUUACUGGGCGUAAAGGGCUCGUAGGUGGCCAACUAAGUCAGACGUGAAAUCCCCAGGCUCAACCUGGGAACUGCGUCUGAUACUGGAUGGCUUGAAUCCGGGAGAGGGAUGCAGAAUUCCAGGUGUAGCGGUGAAAUGCGUAGAUAUCUGGAGGAAUACCGGUGGCGAAGGCGGCACCCUGGACCGGCAUUGACGCUGAGGAGCGAAAGCCAGGGGAGCAAACGGG
rnacentral:rRNA from 1 species